GAUGAACGCUGGCGGCGUGCCUAAUACAUGCAAGUCGAGCGAACGGACGAGAAGCUUGCUUCUCUGAUGUUAGCGGCGGACGGGUGAGUAACACGUGGAUAACCUACCUAUAAGACUGGGAUAACUUCGGGAAACCGGCGCUAAUACCGGAUAAUAUUUUGAACCGCAUGGUUCAAAAGUGAAAGACGGUCUUGCUGUCACUUAUAGAUGGAUCCGCGCUGCAUUAGCUAGUUGGUAAGGUAACGGCUUACCAAGGCAACGAUGCAUAGCCGACCUGAGAGGGUGAUCGGCCACACUGGAACGGAGACACGGUCCAGACUCCUACGGGAGGCAGCAGUAGGGAAUCUUCCGCAAUGGGCGAAAGCCUGACGGAGCAACGCCGCGUGAGUGAUGAAGGUCUUCGGAUCGUAAAACUCUGUUAUUAGGGAAGAACAGAUGUGUAAGUAACUGUGCACAUCUUGACGGUACCUAAUCAGAAAGCCACGGCUAACUACGUG
rnacentral:rRNA from 1 species